rnacentral:rRNA from 1 species
UACAGAGGUCCCGAGCGUUGUUCGGAUUCACUGGGCGUAAAGGGUGCGUAGGUGGUGAGGUAAGUCGGAUGUGAAAGCUCGGAGCUCAACUCCGAAACGGCAUUGGAAACUACCUUGCUUGAGGAUUGGAGGGGGGACUGGAAUACUUGGUGUAGCAGUGAAAUGCGUAGAGAUCGUAAGGAAGACCAGUGGCGAAGGCGGGUCUCUGGACAGUUCCUGACACUGAGGCACGAAGGCCAGGGGAGCAAACGGG